rnacentral:rRNA from 1 species
GACGAACGCUGGCGGCGUGCUUAACACAUGCAAGUCGAGCGGAAAGGACACUUCGGUGGUACUCGAGCGGCGAACGGGUGAGUAACACGUGAGUAAUCUGCCCCUGGUUUUGGGAUAGCCACCGGAAACGGUGAUUAAUACCGGAUAUGACCACGUCUCGCAUGGGGUGUGGUGGAAAGUUUUUCGGCCAGGGAUGUGCUCGCGGCCUAUCAGCUUGAUGGUGAGGUAAUGGCUCACCAUGGCUUCGACGGGUAGCCGGCCUGAGAGGGUGACCGGUCACACUGGGACUGAGACACGGCCCAGACUCCUACGGGAGGCAGCAGUGGGGAAUAUUGGACAAUGGGCGGAAGCCUGAUCCAGCAACGCCGCGUGAGGGAUGACGGCCUUCGGGUUGUAAACCUCUUUCAGUACCGACGAAGCGCAAGUGACGGUAGGUACAGAAGAAGCACCGGCCAACUACGUGCCAGCCGCCGCGGUAAGAC